rnacentral:lncRNA from 1 species
GGAGUGUUGACAUUAAGGGAUGUGGCCAUAGAAUUCUCCCCAGAAGAGCAGGACUGUCUGGACUCUGCUUAGCAGCAUCUGUAUAGGGAUGUGAUGUUAGAGAACUACAGAAAACUUGUCUGCCAGGGUCUUGCUACCUCUAAGCUAGACUUUAUUACCUGUCUGGAGCAAAGAAAAGAGCCCUGAAAUUUGAAGCGACAGGAGACAGCAGCA